AAAAGAAUGCAGUAGAUUAAUUAUAAAUUAUUUGAACGAGAAUAUAUGAUAGUGUAAAGACAAAUAAUAAAGAAAUAAUAUUCUUGGAAGAAUAGAUGUAUUCGAGGAGUAUUUUAUACGUGUUUAUACAUGUAAAAGUUGAAUGAUUUCAAGGAAAGUAUAUUCUGGACAAGAAAAAUACGAUGUCUGUAAAUCAAGUACAGUUAAGAUGAACAAUCCAGAAAAAUUCUGUGGUUCACGAUGUGCAGCGACCUUGAAGUAACUAGUAUAUAAAAGCUACUCGAAUCUACCACUGGAUGAAUAUUUCACGGUAGACGAAACCGCGAUUGGUGUGUACGGUAAAUUUCUGACCGGAAAAGAAUCCUCAGCGCUUGUACGCGCGCGCGCGCGCAUCAUGCCGAGGAAUUACAAUGAAUUGCGAGCAAACACGCAUAGAAAACUGUCGAUGGUGUCUGUUAAAUGUUACAAUUGUUAUCAGAGGAAUGUAUGAAUCAGUCAAAGGAAUAGUAAUUUUUCACCUGUACUAAGCGAUAUUUCUACUGGACGACAUACAAGAACUUUCACACAUAAAUGUGCAGCUUUACAGUUACGUUGUUAACUAUACACGCUUAUUUUGCUAUAUGGCGGCUAGCUGCUUGAAGAUACUAACACAUGCUUAUUAAUCCACGACUAAUCAAGAAAAAAUAUUUCUCAAAGUACAAAAGCGAAAAUCUGGAUCUGUAUCCUGCGGUUUCAUUAAUGUCGUGAACUUAUUAGGUCGUAGCCCUGCUGAGUCUCAGAAUGCUCGCAAAAUAAACAUACCA